GGCCGCCUGGCGUAAUGGCAACGCGUCUGACUACGAUAUUGCCGUGUAAUCAGGAGAUUGCAGGUUCGACCCCUGCGGUGGUCA